rnacentral:lncRNA from 1 species
UUCCCCACGCACAUGGAACUGACUGCCAGGCUCAUAUGCCAACUGUGUAGCAACAGACCAACACAGUGAGACAGUGAGGUUUGCAACAGAGAAUGCAAGACCACUGAGAGAGGAGAUGGGAGAAAUCCUCAAGCCUCAAAUCUAUCUCCUCAAGGGGUUCUUGUGUAAUUUCAUUAAAUAUGGCAGCAGUGGUUACCUACAGGAAGAGAAGAAAUCCAAGUAAUGAGCCCAAUACUCCUCCUCAGGAGUGGAACAGGCUGUGGAAAAGAGGAAGGACCAAUAAAUGAGACUGGCAAGGUGGCUCAUGAGUAAAGGAGAAAACCAGAAAAAUGGAAAUCAAUUAAGAAAAUGUUUGGAGGAUGAAAACAUCAGUUAAAUCUGUGUAAUACUGAGAAUAAAUAGGGUAACUAUAGAAUUAACAUCUGAAUCAGGAUGCUUUGAGAAUAAGACUAUACAUGGUUGAUUACAUGAGAAAAAAGUAUAAACCAAGACUCUCCAAGGACAACAGGAUUGAGAAGUUUCUCCAAAAUUUUGGAGACAGUAAAACUAGGCAAAUUCUUAGAAGAAUUAUUCUAAAAUGAUAAAUUUUAAAAAAAAAUGAAGUUCUGCUGCUGGAGAAGUAAGGAAAGAGAAUAUUUGUUUAAGAUGAGGGAACUAACUGUAUGUUUGCAUAAUGGUGGAUGAUCCAGUAGAGAAAGAAAAUUGAUGAGGCAAAAAGAGAGGAGAGAAUUGUGAGAGCAAAGUCAUUGAAUGACUUAAAAAAGAAGGGAUAAUAGUGAAAGAAUAGAAUCCACGCAACUGAGAUUAUGAAAAAGUUGUAUUUAUUAGUAAAAACAAAGUUAAGGUUAUGACUAUUAAAAUGUAUGUCUGAUGUAAAGUGGAAGACAAGGUCAUUUACUAACGGGGGUUGAGAAGCCAACGUGUUGAAAAGAUCAUAUCUGUAUAUGUUGAAAAUGCCAAGAUUUAAGACUAGAAUAGCAUUAGAGAAAUAAAUAAAAUAAACUGAAGUUUAUAAUAUCAGCAAUAUGAAUGGUGGUGGGUGAUAUGGUAAGAUGAUUCAAAAAGAAGAAUUUUAGGGAAGGAGAAAGAAUGAUUUAAAACCGGCAAAGGAGAACAAGAAAGAUAUCUAUGCCACUUCCACGCCCAGUGGCAUGAAAAAGGGAGAAAAAUCAGUGGCCACUUAAGACUGCAGAGAAACAAUGUUCUUAAUAGAUUGUCAUGUUUUCAUCAGAGCAAAAAGGUAAAUGUGUUGUUGAAAACAAAGAUCAAACACAGGGUGGAAACUGAUGAUAAUGAUUUGUGUGAAGGCAAUAGGGAGUGUGGUAGAUGUUGUGAAGGUUAGAAGAAAAAACAAAAGUGAGGGGACAGAUACAGAAUCUUAUACCAAUUAGAGUAUAAGAAAAGAAGAGCGAACUGGAAGUCUAAGAAUUUUUGUUAUGGAUGAUGUAAAUAAGAAUAAAGGAUAUAAUGUAUUUAGUGGUAAAUUGAAAAAUGUCCCAAAGAUACAUCAAGCCCAAAUCUCCAGCAUCUGUAAGUAUUGAUUUAUAGGGCAAAAGAAGUGACUAAGAGAAGAAUUUUUAGAUGAGGAGAUUAUUCUGGAUUAUAUGGAUGGGCACUAAAUGUAAUGAUGUGGGUCCUUUUAGAAAAAUGUGGAAGGAGAUUCCAUACUGACCCACAUAGAAAAGAAUUCGCUGUGUAGACAGAGGCAGAAAUUGGAAUGAUGCGACCGUAUGCCAGGCAAUGCUAGUAGCCAUCCAAAUCUGGAAGACGCAAAGAAUGGAUUCUCCUUUUCAGCCUCUAGAAGGAGGGAAUGAGGCUGUGCCGACACCUUAAUUUCAUCUCAGUGAUACUCCUUUCAAACUUAAGGCCUCCAGAACUGUGAGAGAAUAAAUUUCUACUGUGUUAAGCUUCCUCGUUUGGAGUAAUUUGUUAUCAAAGCCACAGGAAAGAAAGACAUUAGGGAUUCAAAUUGGAUAUUUGUGGCAACAUUAUGAAUCUUUGAUUCUGGCUGUCAACUGGGAUCCUUGGAUUUCUCCAGGUUGGAUGUCCUGGGGCUGGAGGUCAAGGAGACCGUCCAGAAGCUAUUGGGAUUUUGAAGCUAUUUCCAGAUAAUCAGAUAUACCAGUGUCAAGAUGAUGGGAGACAAAGAAAGAAUGAGGACCUCUCCCAAAUUAGAGACUAUCAAGCACUAGCAACUCAGGAGAGUACCCAGAAGGCCCUCUUUAAAGUGAGUGAUGAAGGAGAAAAUGAUCAACUGUUCCUUACUGAGACUGUAUCAUCAACCAUGAAGACAUUGACAGGCAAUGUGCCUCUUGACCCCCAUGCAAGAGUGCUUCUGAUCUCUGCAGCCUGACAGAUAAGAGAGAAAAAAAGAUCAACAUCAAAACUUCUGAAUUGUAUUUAUCGGAUUUAUAAAACAUUCAGCAUCAGUAAACCUGAGCUUCAGCAAUGGGAGGAGGAGACACUAGGGAUGUGCCACCACAGAGAAAAGACCACAGAAAGAUGAAGCAAGAAGGUGGAAAUCUGCAAGCCAUGGAGAGAGAACUCAAGAGAAACCAAGCUGCUGACACCUUGGUCUUAGCCUUCCAAUUUCUAGAACUGAGAGAAAAUAAAUUUAUAUUAUUUAAGCCAC